rnacentral:rRNA from 1 species
GACGUAGGGGGCGAGCGUUGUCCGGAAUUAUUGGGCGUAAAGAGCUCGUAGGCGGUUUGUCACGUCGGAUGUGAAACCCCGGGGCUUAACUCCGGGCCUGCAUUCGAUACGGGCUGACUAGAGUUCGGCAGGGGAGACUGGAAUUCCUGGUGUAGCGGUGAAAUGCGCAGAUAUCAGGAGGAACACCGGUGGCGAAGGCGGGUCUCUGGGCCGAUACUGACGCUGAGGAGCGAAAGCGUGGGGAGCGAACAGG